GCCCCGUUCGUCUAGCGGCCCAGGACACAUGGUUUUCAGCCAUGGAAUCGGGGGUUCGAAUCCCCCACGGGGUA
rfam:Candidatus Gottesmanbacteria bacterium RIFCSPHIGHO2_02_FTLL_39_14 rifcsphigho2_02_scaffold_7688, whole genome shotgun sequence.